rnacentral:rRNA from 1 species
UACGUAGGGUGCAAGCGUUGUCCGGAAUUAUUGGGCGUAAAGAGCUCGUAGGCGGUUUGUCGCGUCUGCUGUGAAAACUCGGGGCUUAACCCCGGGCCUGCAGUGGGUACGGGCAGACUAGAGUGCGGUAGGGGAGACUGGAAUUCCUGGUGUAGCGGUGAAAUGCGCAGAUAUCAGGAGGAACACCGGUGGCGAAGGCGGCUCGCUGGGCAGUGGCUGACGCUGAGGCGCGACAGCGUGGGGAGCAAACAGG